rnacentral:lncRNA from 1 species
GAAAGGGCCCAAGGAGCUGGAGCCCUUUAGCCUCAAGAAGAGCAUGAGGCACCCAGCACCCUUCUGAAACCUAAACCAAAUUCUGGCCUGAGCCAUUUUCACCAUCUGUGCCCUAGAAGGUUGUGAGGCCUCGAAGUGGGUCUUCCUGUUUCCCUGUCUUCUGAGGCCCAGGCCUUUCUCAGAGCCUCCAUGGGUCCCACCCCUGUACCCAUCACAUGGUGUCUGGGCCCUGCCUGCCUGGCUCACACCCCUCACCCUGCUGCCCUAUUUCCAUCCCUGAAACAGUCCACUGGACACUGCCAUUCCCUCUCUUAAAAGACUUUCACAGGCCCUGACCGUCCCUUGGUCAAUCUAGUGAAUGUCACCCCCUCACCAAAGAAACCCUCCCUGAGCACCCCAUCUGCAGUAGGGUCACCCCCAUCUUCCACCUUCACUUUUCCUGGUGUCUCCUUCCUAGCCCCUAUCUCUAUGGGAGUUUUCUUCAGAUAGACUAGACUCCCUCGCCCACCCGGGGGGAACAGCGUGUCUGUCUUCUCUGUCCCUGCACACCAGAGAUGAUCAAUGAUCAGUUGCUGACAUCAAUGAAACAGGAAGGCCCCAGAGGUGCUGGGAGCCGUUCACUGCAGGGGCCAUAGGCUUGCAGGCC